UGCCUGCUUCUGUGUGAUAUGUUUGAUAUUGGGUUGUUUAAUUAGGAACCAACUAAAUGUCAAACAUAUUCUUAUAGCAGUAGGCA
rfam:Tupaia chinensis contig116060, whole genome shotgun sequence.